AUACUUACCUGGCAGGGGAGAUACCAUGAUCAUGAAGGUGGUUUUCCCAGGGCGAGGCUUAUCCAUUGCACUCCGGAUGUGCUGACCCAUGCGAGUUCCCCAACUGCGGGAAACUCGACUGCAUAAUUUGUGGUAGUGGGGGACUGCGUUCGCGCUCUCCCCUG
ensembl:snRNA U1 U1 spliceosomal RNA